rnacentral:lncRNA from 1 species
GAAAUCAUGGAAGGAGUGGGAGCAAAUCCUUGGGGCUCAGCCCUGGCUGAGCCACGCAGAGGGAAUGCACUCAACAUCUGGCAGCUGCCGCAGCUGGGGCUGUGCUCUCCUCUGCCGAAAUACAGUGGUCAGCGCGGAAGGACAGAGCGAAACCUCCCUCAUCUCAUCCUGGCCUCCUUCUCUUCCUUUCUCUCUCUCUCUCUUUUUUUUUUUUUUUUCCUCUUUUAGACAUACUUUCUGCAACCCAAACAACAUUCUUGAACCAAGAUUUGAGGAGAUGAGAAUCGGUCACUCAGAGACAGCGCAACAGCAGUGGGGCCAUGGGGCUCUGCUGGAAACUUUGAGUUGGGUGCAGCUCUUUCCGUGGGACAUGCUGCAAAACUUUUCCUGUGUGCAAUGAGCUGAAAGGGCUCAGCCCAGGUCUUUCCUGGCUAAAACUGGGGUGGGAGAUGGCUGCAAAUGGCUCUAUUUUGCCACCCAAAUCUCUUCUGGGAGAUGGCACAGGGGGAGGGAGAGCAAAGCCUGACCUGUCCCCUACCCCCCUGCUCCGCUUUGCACAGCUCUGGGGGUGAUGGCUUAGCUGGGGAAGGCUCUGCACUGUCCCACUGUAAUCACGGGCUGCUUCUGGGGCAUUAGAGCUUGAGGUCAUAAUAGCUGUCUGCAGGUUAUGAUGGGGUGGACAGUGUACUCCCAGGAACAUCCCCAUGGCCCCUGGUCCCACCAUUGUGGCUCUGGGUAACACAUGGCCUUGGAAUAUCUGCGUACACACAUCAAUCCGCUCCCCUGCAAACCCCACCUACUGGAUUUCCUCAUGGAAGUGCUCCUCGCAGCGCGGCACUGGGCUGUGCACAAAGCGGGGUCAGAGCUCACUGCAACCACCAUCAAAUGCAUUUGAAAAGGUCCUCCAUGGCUGCAGCAGGGAGGAGAAAGCCUGGAAGCCGCCCCUAUGGACCCACUCUGCUCCUCCAGCUCCUGCAUUACAUUUGCACAGCUGUCUGCCCGUGCUGGAGCAGGAACGUGCCCCUCCGAAGCAGCGCGGAGAUUAAUGGGCUGGAAGGAACAGGGCAGCUCUGCAUGCCGUCCUCGUCCCAGCACUGUGGCCCCACGCCGGCUCCACUCCAGCAGCUCCUCUGAAACAUCCCAGUUCGAAGUGAUUUUACAACAA